UGAGGGAAGCGUUGAAAGAUACAGGUAAGU
rnacentral:piRNA from 1 species